rnacentral:rRNA from 1 species
ACUGAUCCUCCCCAAGUUCAGCAAUGAGUACGGUAUUCUGGACCCGGCCCAUAGAGGGUGAAAGGCCCGUUAGGGUGGAGUGUCAGACUGGCCAGUGUCUCUCUGGAUAGACCUUGGAGUCGGGUUGUUUGUGAAUGCAGCCCAAAGCGGGUGGUAAACUCCAUCCAAGGCUAAAUACAAACACGAGUCCGAUAGCGAACAAGUACCGUGAGGGAAAGUUGAAAAGUACUUUGAAGAGAGAGUAAACAGUGCGUGAAACCGCUCAGAGGUAAGCAGGUGGAGUUGAACUGCAAGCCUUGAGAAUUCAGCUGGUGAGUUGUGGUUUGAGCUUGGUCAAAUUGGUUGGGCCCCAAGGUAUGCUUAUCUGCAUGUCCUUCCUUCGGGUUGGGUGCCCCGAGGCACCUUAUCAAGUGUUGCGCGCCUUGGGCGUCUUUCGAGCCUACUUGCCAGUGCACUUUCUCAUGGUAUUCAUCACGACCGGCGCUGCUGUCGGGCUGUUCUUGUUAAACCGGUUUUGUAAGGUCCUUGUGGCUUUGCUUGAUCGGGAUGGCAGGUAGCCUGUUUGCUUGCUUCGGCUUGCUUUCAGGUGUAAUCAGCUGACUGCAAUGGUUCUGUGCGGUGUGUCGGAGACGGCGGCUUGUGGUGUGUGCGUGCGUGCCUUAUCUGCUGGCGGAUCUCGGUCUGGUCACUAUGUUGCUUGUUCAAGCAGGCCUAGUUAUCGAUGAGCAUGGACUGGAUGGCCGCAGAGUCGAGUGGACUUCCCUCCCCAACCUACGAGUCUAACCAGGAUCCCUCAGAACGCGA